rnacentral:lncRNA from 1 species
CCUCACAAUGGUGGGUGGACCUAUCAGUGAUUGUGUGGUCUAAACCACUGAGCCUCUUGGGCUCAGAAGGUCAGCAGUUCGGAUCCCCGUGAGGAGGUGCGCUCCCGUUGCUCUGUCCCAACUCCUGCCAACCUAGCAGUCUGAAAGCACACCAGAGCAAGUAGAUAAAUAGGUACUGCUGCAGCGGGAAGGUAAGUGGCGUUUCCAUGUGCUCUGGUUUCCGAAAUGGUAUCCCAUUGUGCCAGAAGCAGUUUAGUCAUGCUGGCUACAUGACCCAGAAAGCUGUCUGUGGACAAACACCGGCUCCUUCAGCCUGAAAGCGAGAUGAGCGCCACAACCCUAUAGUCACCUUUGACUGGACUUAACCGUCCAGGGGUCCUUUAAUUUUACCUUUUACCUAAUAUCAGGAAUGAGGAAACCUACUGGGAAAACAAGAUAGAAUCUAGACUGUGCCUGCCCAGGCGCUAGUCACGGUUACUAUCUGUUGCCUCCAGCUUCAGACGCGGGAAGCCUCUCAAUACCAGCUACAGGAGAAGACAAUCAGGUGAGGGCUGCUGUGGUCAUGCCAUGCUUGUGAGAUUUCCAGAGGAAUCUGACUGACCACUGUGAAUACAGAAUUCUGCCCUGACUGGGCCUUUGAUUCGGUUCAGAAGUGGCUUGUCUUAUGUUAUUAGGUGCCAAAGGCUGAGCUAAGGCAUGAAUGAUGAAUUGGCUGUGUUUUCAGCAAUUACUAUCAGCCAGUUGACCCAGUGGAGGAAAACAAUAUUAAUAUCCCUUAUAUGCAAGUACAAUGUGGGAUAUUUUUGCUUAUUAACCUACCAUUCUUCCCAAAGUCUCCAUGAUGCUUUUGAAUGAUUCCCCCAGGUGGUUUCCCACCCAGGUAGCUUACAAGGUCAACCCUGCUUUGAGAGCCAUGUGCAAGAUGGGAGAGAAACUCAGUUCAGCUCCCCAUUAAAAAGGCACCGACAUUCUCCUAAACAAUAUGCGAAUCGAAACACAAACAUCCGACAAAGUUCAGCCUUCUCUGAUUUUUUUCAGUACAGUUCUGCAGCCAAGUAAGGUGUGCAAACAUGCAUAUAUCAGGGGAAGUAAUAUACAAAAAUGUGUUAUAUUGUGGGAAAAUGCUUUGCCAAAAAAAAUGUAUAUUAGGUCAAAUUGCAUACAAACAUGUGUAUACAGUCAUACCUUGGAAGUGGAACGGAACCCGUUCCACUUCCAAAACUUUUGAAAACUAAAUCGCGGCUUCUGAUUGAAUCAGAAGCCGUGGAAGCCCCAUCAGAUGUUCAGGUUCCAAAAGAUCGUUUGCAAACAGGAACAAUCACUUCCGGGUUUGCGGCGUUUGGGAGCGAAAACGCCCGAGUUCCGAGGCGUUUGGGAUCCAAGGUACAACUGUAUUAGGAAGAAUUCACCUCAAAAUGCUGAUGAAUUUUCAAGCAGACUUUUAUAAUAAUAAUAAUAUUAGUAAUAAUAAUAAUAAUAAUAAUAAUACUCUAACUGAUGUGUGAGUGUAUAGAACUAAACUGACUGGUAAAAUGAGAAACUAAGGGAAACUAUAAUGGAAGCAUUUGCCCAUCCCAAGUUGUGUGUUUUAUCUUCAGUCCAGUCAUUAGGCCUCGAGAGCGAUUACGCAUGCAAGUGAAGGACUGCAGAGGACUUUACAUGCUCAAAUGCAUUUGGAAUUAACAACAGCAUCCAAAUCUUAAUAACGAAUCGUACGAAAAAUACAUCCUCUUUUUAUCAUUAUAUUUUUCGACAAAGACUUUUUGCUGUACCACAAAUAGAGAAGAUUUAGCGGACGAAAGUCACAAAUCAUUUGGGAAGCUUCCGUAGGGGGGAAAAAAAGCUAAGUCAAAAGUAUUUCCAUUGACAAGUGAGAGAGAGAAGGACAGGGAGCGAAAAUAGUAUUUUACGCAACUGUUUUUUGUGGUGGAAUACCAGAGGCUCGCUUCUGGGACAUCUGCCGGAUGCAAGGCACCAUUUGUGGGGGGUUGUCACAAUUCAUUUGCCCUCACAAAGCAGAUGACUAAAGCCACAGCCUAGGACCGCAUUUCAGGUAUGGUUAGAUGGAGGGGGAAACACCCAAACCCGGCUCCUACAGAGCUGAUAUCAAUCAAGUUGUCUGUUUCCAUCUGACACGGAUUUUGUGAAAAGCCGAGAAUGCAAAACCAAAGAUGUAUGUGUAUUUUUAUAUAUGCCAUUCUUGUGAGAAAUGGAGGUAUGGCCUUAUCCUUGUGGUACACAUGACCAGAACCACAGCAUCUGCAACUCCUAAUUAUAGGAGAAAUUUGAUUUUGUAAGCAGGUGUGUGUGUGUAUAUGUGUUUAUUAUAUAGAUAUGUACAAAGAUAAAUACAUGAAAACACAUGAAUUAUGUGAAACCGCAGUGGUUCAACAGUCAAAAUUUCAUCCCUGGAAACACCUUUCUUGGCUCCUUAGAGCAGUCAUUUUGUUUUUGUUUCUGCUUCACGGUUGCUUUAUUUUCAGUGCAAAACUUGGAAGCAAAUCCCACUGAACAGCUGCCUCCAUAUGUUGUCUUUUCCAAUCAGCCAUCUGCAAAAGUGAUGGGAAAACUGUGCUCCCCCCCCCCCCCCAAUUAUUGUCGGACUCCAAAUCCCAUCAGUCCUAGCCAGCAUGCUCAGGGAUUAUGGGAGUUCCCUGAUCUACAAGUAUUUUACUUCUCUCCCUGCUCCCCAGCUCCGGUAUAAAUUUGUCUAGUUUGAAGAAGAAAAUGAUCUGCGUUGUCUGUGAUAUUUCAAGGGAGGCUGUUGAAUGUUUUGGCUGCUUGAUCAAACCACAGAAAUUCCUAGCAAAGUGUGUUUUCACUUAAGGAUGAUAUCAGCAAUUCAGCUGAGGACACUUCAAUGUACAUAAGAGGACGAUGUUUGAAGUGCAAAUGCUUUGAUUUGACACAACCGGGAAACAUUUAUGAGACAAUAUUGAGUGAAAUCCUAGUUAGGCUUUGGUUGUUCAGUUGCUUCAGGGAUGAUAGAAUAAUUACAUUAUAUCUUACUUGAAGAUGUAUGGUAUACAGCUGAGAUGAUGCAGCAUAUUAGAUUUUAGCAGGGUGGGACUGCAAAGGUCUGAAAAUAGAGGGACCGGAUAUUGUUUAUAACUCUAAUGCUGCAGAAGAAGAAGAGGAGGAUGAGGAGGAGGAGUUUGGAUUUGAUAUCCCGCUUUAUCACUACCCGAAGGAGUCUCAAAGCAGCUAACAUUCUCCUUUUCCCUUCCUCCCCCACAACAAACACUCUGUGAGGUGAGUGGGGCUGAGAGACUUCAAAGAAGUGUGACUAGCCCAAGGUCACCCAGCAGCUGCAUGUGGAGGAGCGGGGAAGCGAACCCGGUUCACCAGAUUACGAGUUCACUGCUCUUAACCACUACACCACACUGGCUCACAUUUGGGAACCUAUGGCCCUUCAGAUGUUGAUGAACUCCCACCAUCCCUAGCUAGUCUGGAAUAUCACUUGAGUAAUGUUUGUGGAAUUGGUGUUAAAUCUGAAAUAGAGGUCCUACAAACUAAACUUAUGAGGCAGAUUUGGGGGCUUCCCUGCAGGACACCAGCAGCCCACCUCAAAGCUGAGUUGGGCCUUCCCUCUCUAGCAGCCAGAAUUGAUCUAACGUAUCUGAGAUACUGGCACAGGCUAAAUGCCUUCGGGGAUCAUACACUUAACUAAGCCCUGCUGAAAUUUUGGAACAAGACGGAGAUAGACUGAAAUUGCAGAGUUUUGAAAAAUUAAAAAACAAAGUGCGAGACUGGCUUCAUUAUUUUCAGAUAAUGGAGGCAUUUAAAUUGGACAAGAAAAUUGGCUUCCAGGUGGAAAGAUCAAAAUUAGAAACAGAACUGUUAGAACCCAAAACUAAGAAUUUGUCAAGAAUGUAUAACUUGCUGCUGAAAUGGAAUACUCAGGAUGAAACGGUAAAAUCGGCUAUGAUUAAAUGGGCACAGGACAUUGGACAUAACAUUAUGUUUGCUGACUGGGAACAGUUAUGGACCACAGGUAUGAAAUUUACGGCAUGUAAUGCCUUAAGAGAGAAUAUUAUGAAAAUGAUAUACAGGUGGUACAUAACCCCAGUCAAGCUUGCAAAAAUCUAUCAUUUGCUCGAUAACAAAUGUUGGAAAUGUAAAGAAACUGAAGGUACAUUUUUUCACCUUUGGUGGACGUGCCCAAAGAUUAAGGCUUUCUGGGAAAUGAUAUAUAAUGAAUUAAAAAAGGUAUUUAAAUAUACCUUCCCUAAGAAACCAGAGGCCUUUCUCCUGGGUAUAGUCGGCCAAAUGGUGUUAAAAAAGGAUAGAACUUUCUUUAUGUAUGCAACAACAGCAGCAAGAAUACUCAUCACAAAGUAUUGGAAGACACAAGAACUUCCCACGCUGGAGGAAUGGCAGAUGAAACUGAUGGACUAUAUGGAACUGGCGGAAAUGACUGGCAGAAUCCGUGACCAGGGAGAAGAGUUGGUGGAGGAAGAUUGGAAGAAAUUCAAAGAUUAUCUUCAGAAACAUUGCAAAAUUAAAGAAUGUUAGAGUGAUGUUGGAUCGAAAAUAAGUGGUUUCCAGCUGUACAGGUUAAAGUUAUUGAUAGACUAAGAUUAAAGAUUAGGAUUAAAGAUGUUUAAGGAAAUGGAAAUUUGGUACUUAAGAGGUAAAAUUUUAAUGUUAUAUUACAUUAAGAUUAAAGAUUAGGAUUAAAGAAGUUUAAGUGUUAUAUAUUAUAUUAAGAUUAAAGAUUGGGAUUAAAAAGUGGAAAAGAAAUUGCUGGACAAACAAUUUGGACUGGAAUACAAAAGAGGGAGGUAUGAGGAAGUCCAGAAAAUAUGUAAAUUCAAAAACGGAAAUGGAAAAGUGAUAUUGUUUUUAAUUGUUCUUUUUUUUUUGUUUCUUUUGUAUUUUGUUUUCUGUGUUUUCCUUUUCUUUUUGGAUUAUGUAUUGUGUAUUUUUGUACUUCUACUUUUAUGUUUUUCUGUUUAACUUUUUAUUGAAACCUUAAUAAAAAUCAUUUAAAAAACAAAAACAAAAACUAAGCCCUGCUGGUUAGAGCAACUAAGGACAAGGGGGCUGAGCACAAAAGUGCCAAGAUAAGUUUAGGGCUUAUAAUCUCCAAAUUGAGAACUACUUAGCCCUUAGCCCACAUGACCUUAGAAAUUGGAUUUUUUUAUCAGGAUGCCAACCAAGACAGAGCAUCCAUCACUGCUGCCCAUUGCUCUACUUGGUACCCCCAAAUUAAGACCUGUCACUUAAGGCCCCAUUGCCUUGAGACUCUGACCUUCCCACAACUAUGCAGGACCUUCGUAGAACUAAGAUUCCAACAGAUACCCUCAGCAUAAUUAGAGGGGAAUUCCCAAUAUGGAUCGCAAAUGUAGAUAUGGAUGCAAUCAGGUAGAGGACUUCACACACUAUCUGCUGAUUUGCAGAUACAACACCCAGAGGAAAAUUUAUUUUGCCAAUUUUUAAUUGACUUGCAGGUUGAUCCGCAAAGGAAGUGACAGUUGAACUCCAGGGGCGGGGGGGGGAGAAGAAAAGCAAAAUAGUAGCAUGGCUUCUUUUCAUUCUCUUUUUUAUAAUUUUUAUUAAAUUUUUUGUUUCACAAUUCAAAUACACAUUUUACAUCCUUAAGAUAUCAAUGACUUCCCUUCUUCUCUUUCUGUAGUUCAUUUUACUUAUCUUAAAUCUCCACAUAUUUUACAAAAACUCUACUAAUCGGUUUUCCAUUAUUGCAUCUAUCAAAACAUUUGCGCUGUUGAGUUUAUCUUAAUGCUGCUAACAUUUUCAGCUGUACACAAUUAUUUUCCAUAUAUUCAAUACAUGUUUUCCAAUCUUCUUUAAGCAUGUGUUCUUCUUGUUCUCUUAUUCUAUAUGUGAAGUCUGCAAGUUGUGCAUAUUAUGUCAACUUAAGUUGCCAUUCUUCUUUGGUUGGGACCUUGCUCAUUUUUCUAUUUUGGGGCUAACAAAACACGAGCCGCAUAAAUAACCUUUUCUGACACCUGGGGAUUUCAGUCUGAAUUAUCCCCAACAGAAAGGACUCUGGGUUUUUUAGGAAAGAACCUUUAAACAUUUUUUUCAAUUCAUUAUAGACCAUUUCCCAAUCCUCUUUUACAUGUCUACCACGUAUGAAAGAAUGUUCCCUCCGUCUCUUUAAAAUUCCACUUUUGUUUAUUCUCAAUCAUAUGCACUGCCCAAACGCCAUUAUUAUCUGAAAUGGUGGUAACAGCGUUAAGAGAUUUUGGAAGACUUUGACUCAAGGUCUUGACUUUCCAAAACAUACUUCUCCCUCCCGUAAAACAUAAUUCAUUUCAUGUCAAUCCUGAUUUUAUUUAUAUAUGUAUAUUCCACUUGUGCAUAUUAUACCUUGCAUAUAUUAUACUCACAGUGGUUUAUACCCAACAAACAGAAAUAUUAGGGUAGGAAAAAUCAAACCUAAAUUCACCUCAGUCCUGUGUGUGUCAACUCCAAAGUAAGGCCCACUGAAAUCAAUGGGACUCUCAGGUCAGUGUUUAUAGGAUUACAGCCACCGUGUACAUAUAACAAGAAUGGCGGACCUGUGACCUACACUUCCAAUGUUGUUGGACUAACUGCCCUCAUCCACAGCCAGCCUGGUCAAUGGUCAGGGAUGCUGAAAACUGUAUUCUAGCCAUCUCUGAAGGGCUACAGGUUCCCCACCUCUAUAAUAUAUCAAUACAAAUAAUAUAAAACUUCAUAAUAAAGAGUACAGCAUUUCAAUAUUUAUGAAAAAUUCUCAUUAAACGAUUCAACAAAGCCUAGUUAAGCAUAGGAUCAAUCAGACCCAUAAGCGAAGGGCCAUAGCUCAGUGAUAAAUCACAUAUCUUGCACGCAGAAGGUCUUAACGUUCAAUCCCCACCAUCUCUAUGUAGGGCUGGGGAAAUCUCCCUACCUGAAACCCUGGACAGUCACUGCCAGUCAGUGUAGACAAUAUUGAACUAGCUGGACCAUUGUUCUGAGUCAGUAUAUGGACGUUUCCUAUGUUCCGAGCAAGAUCAAUCAUACAGCAGGCCAACUGAUAAUUACUAGAUCAUAGCAGCAUCUCAAAAUCACUCAGUUAAAGCCUAAAGCAAAAAGAUUUGCCAAUAUAGCAAGAAGUACAUGCAGAUUACAAUAACAGUUUGUAAAUACAUAAACGUAAAAGCAAAACAUUGGGUUCCGCAGGUGGCGCUGUGGGUUAAACCACAGAGCCUAGGACAUGCCGAUCGGUGGUUCGAAUCCCCGAGACGGGGUGAGCUCCUGUUGCUCGGUCCCUGCUCCUGCCAACCUAGCAGUUCGAAAGCACGUCAAAGUGCAAGUAGAUAAAUAGGUACUACUCUGGCGGGAAGGUAAACGGCUCAGUCAUGCUGGCCAAUUGACCCGGAAGCUGUACGCCAGCUCCCUCGGCCAAUAAAGCGAGAUGAGCGCCGCAACCCCAGAGUCGGUCACGACUGGGCCUAAUGGUCAGGGGUCCCUUUACCUUUACCUUUACUAAAAGAAGAAGAAGAAGAAGAGUUUGGAUUUGAUAUCCCGCCUUUCACUCCCUUUAAGGAGUCUCAAAGCUGCUAACAUUCUCCUUUCCCUUCCUCCCCCACAACAAACACUCUGUGAGGUGAGUGGGGCUGAGAGACUUCAAAGAAGUGUGACUGGCCCAAGGUCACCCAGCAGCUGCAUGUGGAGGAGCGGAGACUCAAACCCGGUUCCCCAGAUUACGAGACUACCGCUCUUAACCACUACACCACACUGGCAAAACAUUAACAGCCUUAUAAAGCUAGACAAUAUAUCACAGACAAGUUAUGCCUAAAAGUUGCAGGACCGUGUACACAACCUCUGUUUACGCUUCCAGGCUGGUUAAAUGUAACAUCGUAUUCUAAUCUCCUUUGGUUCUAUUAUAGUCUUGGUUGUAGAAUCACUUAUCACCUCCAUCUGAAGUAGGCUCUUAAAUCUUUCACUUCCCACUAUUUACUUAGCCAGUUCUAAUCAAAACAAGGAUAUCUGCAUUCACACAUUGCUGCUAGGUCAGUUUGCAACUGAAAGUAACCUGGGGUUGAAUCAGCUUUAUUUCACAGUUGGGAUUAUCGAAAUCGUUCCCAGAUACAAUCAGUCUUGCCAUCGACACUCAGUGAAAUUAAUUAAGCUCCCCAUUUGUUUAAUGUGCUUUCUAAUUAACCUAGUCUGGAGAACAGCAAAACAACGUCCAGAUUCUGUGAGCCCUUUUAAAGUUUGGCACCAGGGAAAAGACAUUAGAGUCUCCAUAUAAUUAGCCCUCCUCCCCCAUCCGCUCUCCUAAUGGCUAAAUUAGAGGUCUUCCGCAUAGCAAUAGCUGCACCGUGUUUAAUAUUACAAUAAAAGCAUGCAUAGGAAGGAAUGCCAUCAAGUGCAACACCCAGAAACAUUAUUUCUUUAAUUAGGAUUGUAAUUGUGAUAUUUUUACUACUUUAUAGUGCAUUUGGGGCAACAGCUUCCCUGCCUGCAGGCUUCUCCUCCCAAUUCGAUGGAGCAGGGAGUUUCAACACAGUCAUGUGUCCCACUUUACAGAGGUCUGUCCUCUACUUGGAAGGGUGCCAAACGCCAGUCCUGUUAUUUAAAGCCCUCUUUCUUCAAAGGGCUCUCUUAGCAGUGGAACAGUGGUGAAUUAUGAAGUGUAGGAGCUCAUUGUGACACAGCUGCUAAAGCCACACUCACAAGGGCUGCAGAGUGUGCCAAAGACCUGCAGUUGUUGUUGUUGUUGUUGUUGUUGUUGUUGUUGUUGUUGUUGUUGUUACAGAUGACUGGGUUGCCCCAGCCACUCUGGGGUACAUAACGUACUUGUCAGGGAGGGACUGGAUGAGGAAGAGUGGUGGGCCUAGAGCCCCCCAGGGACGACACAGAAGAUGACUUAGCCCCAGAUCGUGGUGGAGGGACACUGGGGAGCAGUCGGGGGAAGGGGACGAGCUGGGAGGUGCUCGAAACAGGAGGUUUGAGCGAUCAAGGGGGGUCAGAAGAAGGAAGUCCUUUCAGGACAGGGCUGGAGGCUGAGAGUCUCAGUGUCAGCGCAGAGUCAGACAGGGAGGAGUCAGAGAUUGCCCCUGCUACCCAGUAGCAGGGCAGUCCCAGUCUUUCUAGAGGGGGACUCUGACACCUUGCUCCAGGAGAGUCCUUCACGUUGCUAAGCUACGGACCGGACAGGAAGAGCCCAUCUCCUCGCCACUUGGGAUGAAUCCCAAGGGAAAAGCUAGAGGGCAAAAGUUUGAGAGAUUUAUUGCAAGUGAAGUCUGCUAAUACAGUGGUACCUCGGGUUAAAAACUUAAUUCGUUCUCGAGGUCCGUUCUGAAACUGAAACUGUUCUUAACCUGAGGUACCACUUUAGCUAAUGGGGCCUCCCGCUGCCGCCACGCGAUUUCUGUUCUCAUCCUGAAGCAAAGUUCUUAACCCGAGGUACUAUUUCUGGGUUAGCGGAGUCUGUAACCUGAAGCGUCUGUAGCCUGAAGUACAUCUUGUGCCCACACACUUCCUCUGGCAUGAGCUUUGCAGAGUACGCAAUGUUGUUGGAAGUGAUUGAAGUCUGAACGCUGUCCUUCUGGACAAUGAAGGAAAAGACGUCUUGAAAGCUACAACUAGUGUUUAUUGUAGUAAACAGUAAUAAAGACAUAGAUUAGUAAAUACAAGUACAGAGUGUUAACAGCAUGUACACUCAGCAAACUGCCAUUAAACAAUCCCUCAUGCUCUCUAACCACCACAGACAGGCCAGACUCUCUCAGAAGAACACAGGCAUAUAUAUAUAGCUGCUCUGUUACAGUAUAACACUGAUUGGCUAAGCAGCGUUUUUUUAUAUGUGUCUAGAUUCCACCAUGCUUACAUUUCGCUAAGUUCCUGUUUGUGCAAGUGUUAGAAACUAAGUAGGUUGUCAGUGCCACUCUGUGCCUGUUUGAGUAAGCCUCUUUGACCUCAGUGGGACAUACUCCCAGGUAAGCAUAUAGAGGAUUGCAGCAGGUGUCUACAAGAUGCUUCAUAUAUCUGUGCUUUAAAGUGAACUUUAAACUGAUUUAGGUCUUAAUUCAAAUUUUGACCCAGGCCUCUUUUGCAUAGCUUGCUUCUCUGGGACACGGAGACCAAUUUAUCUUUCUCUAGCUUCCAAUAAAGCUCCUCCACUACUUUAGUUCUUUAUACUGUUCCUGACCGAAAAAGAAAAAGAAAAUCCUGCUUUUCAAGCACUGUACACAAAUUAAAUAUUCAUAUCCCUUAAAAGCAAUUAAAUUUACUGUCAAGUAAUUUGCAACUCUAAACAGCAAAUGUACAAAAAUAAUUAGCCUGGUUGAAAAUCAGUUAGUUUUCUGAUAAGCUCAUAAGCCCUUUUAAUUAAAAUCACAAUAUUCUUUUAAUUGCCAAAGGGAAUAUUUUGUUUAUAACAGAGGAACAUUCCUAAGUUUUAAUUUAAGUUUCACACUGAUAUUCCUGUAAUUGAGUAUCACCCUCUGGGGCCACGAAUACCCAUCUAGCAAAAUAAUGUGCUUCCCAUCAGUGCCAUAGAACGGCAUGCAUGAAAAUGGACCAUUCUGAAAAAAGAAGAAAAUAAAAGUUAUUAUAAUAGAUUGGGUCAUUGCUCGGGAGGAUUUCCAUGGAGUGCUGUUCAUAUUCAUUUAAGAGGUUUUCUUAUUUAGUCAAAAGGUUGCUUUGUUAUAGUUCAAUAAUCUGCUUUGAGUACAGUGGUACCUUGGUACUUGAACGGCUUGGCUUCCGAACAAAUCGUCUCCCAAACGCCGCAAACCUGGAAGUGAAUGUUCCGGUUUGCGAACAUUUUUCGGAAGCCAAAUGUCCGAUGAACAGACUCCACGAACGGAUUAAGAUUGAGAACCAAGGUACCACUAUACUUUUAAACAGUAGUUUGGAUAGGCUUUGCUCAGUCAGAACCUACAACUAAAAUCCUAAUGGUCUAUAAUCACAUCGAAGGCACCAGUUACAAACCAACAUUCCAUGGAACAUUUUUGCAGGUUUCAUGCCCUGAUGUGGAUUUUAGGAUUUUUCCUUAUGGACCAAUGUUACAGCUACCUUGACUUUAAGUACAGUGGUACCUCAGGUUUAGAACUUAAUUUGUUCCGGAGGUCAGUUCUUAACCUGAAACUGUUCUUAACCUGAAGCACCACUUUAGCUAAUGGGGCCUCCUGCUGCCACCGCGCCGCCGCUGCGAGAUUUCUGUUCUCAUCCUGAAGCAAAGUUCUUAACCCGAGGUACUACUUCCGGGUUAGGGGAGUCUGUAACCUGAAGCGUCUGUAACCUGAAGUGUCUGUAACCCGAGGUACCACUGUACAAGAGGUAAUGCAAACUAAACAGCCAACAUUCAGAUUUCGGGAUAGUCCGUUCUUGUGUUGCAAUCUUUUCUUAGCAAGAAAAAAAGCAAAAAGCAAAAAGAAAACUCACACUAUUCUAGGCUGCAUCAACAGAAGUCUAGUGUCCAGAUCAAGGGAAGUAAUAGUGCCACUCUAUUCUACCUUAGUCAGACCACACUUGGAAUACUGUGUCCAGUUCUGGGCACCAAAAUUGAAGAAGGAUAAUGACAAGCUGGAACGUGUGCAGAGGAGGACGACCAAGGUGAUCAAGGGUCUGGAAACCAAGCCUUAUGAGGAACGGUUGAAGGAGCUGCGUAUGUUGAGCUUGGAAAAGAUGAGACUGAGAGGAGCCAGGAUAGCCAUCUUCAAAUAUCUUAAGGGUUGCCACAUGGAAGAGGGAACAUGCUUGUUUGCUCCUGCUCUGGAAGGUAGGACUCAAAUCAAUAGCUUCAAGUUACAAGAAAGGAGUUUCCAAGGAAAUGUCAGGAAGAACUUUCUGACAGUAAGAGCUGUUUGACAGUGGAACAGUCUCCUUCAGGAGGUUGUGGACGCUCCUUCAUUGGAGAGUUUUAAGCAGAGGUUGGAUGGUCAUCUGUCCUGGAUGCUUUAGCUGAAAUUCCUGCAUUUCAGGGGGCUGGACUAGAUGACCCCUGGGCCCCUCCCAGCUCUAAGAUUCUAUGAUUCUUCUCUCUUCUUUCUCUUUUUCCUUUUUUUGUUUUGUUUUUGAGAGAACUGAAUCAUUUUGGUUUAGUUUCAUCUCAUUCACACUACACCACCCUUCCUGUGAUCUCACCCAACAAUGACCCCCCACUCCACACACACCUCUCCUGACAGAAACCUUUCCUUAUAUACUGACAGCCACGUGUUUAGAGAAUACAGGUCCCAAAACUAGACCUUUCCAUUUAUUACCUGUUGCUGGCAUUUUACCAGGAGUAAAGGAAUGAUGCGCUUCUUUCUAUAUGCAGUGUGUGAAAUAGUUAAUAUACUUUAAAAGCAUCACCGGUACGUUUGCAUUUUUAGAUUUGUGAGAGAGGUGUUGUUUACAACUUUGGCAACAGCGUAAAUGGGCAAGCUUUGCUGGAAAUGCAGAAGUUUGAAGGCCACAUUUUCCCCAAUAAUGUUUGAAAAAAUGUUUUCAAGAAGCUUGUUAGGAUGUUGAGCAGUCUUGGGAGCCUACCAAUGAUUUAUUUACAUCUCUAUUCUUGUUUUGUCAACAUGGACAUGGUCAUGAAGCUCUGUGGUUACUGCUAUGUUUUGUUUGGUUUUAUUGAGUCAUCUAAUAUAAAGUACACCAUGUUUGUUCCAGGAUUAAAAACCUUAUCUGCAGUCUCUAUUUUUGAGAACUGUUUUGCCGUUUUCCUGCUAUACAUAUUCCAAUUUGUCUCUCCUCAGGCUGUUAAACCCUCAAAGGACAGAGCCAGAGAAUUUAAAGGUCCAGUUCCUAAUUUUAAAAAGCACUGGGCAUUCAACCAUUGAUAGAGGACAUGGAAGACUUUUGGAUCUGGAUAGAUGUGAUCACAUUUUCAAGAAUACAUGUUUCAGUCAGAAAAAGGCAAGGAUAGCUGUAAGCCCAUCAGUCCAGUCAGAGAUGGCCCAAGACAUUUUCCUACCUGAGAUGAGGGUGAAGGGGGUGUUUUUUUCCCCCAUUCCACAUACGGAAGCAAACCAGACUGGAAGUUUCAAUGCUGCCAAUGGGGUAUGAAUCCAUACCCUCCAACAUUUCUCUGAUGAAAAUAGGGUUGUCCCAUAAUGAUAAUUUUACUACAGUGGUACCUUGGGUUACAGACGCUUCAGGUUACAGACUCCACUAAUCCAGAAGUAGUACCUCAGGUUAAGAACUUUGCUUCAGGAUGAGAACAGAUAUCAUGCCCUGGCAGCACGGCAGCAGUAGGAAGCCCCAUUAGCUAAAGUGGUACCUCAGGUUAAGAACAGUUUCGGGUUAAGAACGGACCUCCAGAACGAAUUAAGUUCUUAACCUGAAGUACCACUGUAUUUAUACCUCUUAUUGGUGUGCCCCAGCCAUUCUGGGCAGCUUCCAAGAUAUAUAAAAACAUAAUAAAACCUUUAUUUCUUUUUUAAAAACCUCCCCUAGACAGAUUCUCUUCAGAUGGCUCAGAGCUCUGAUAACUCCGUACCCUCCAACAUUUCUCCAAUGAAAAUAGGGGCGUCCUAAGCAAAAGUGGAACAUUUCAGGAUCAAAUCAGGGACAUCCCUAGAAAAUAGGGACACUUGGAAGGCCUAGCAUUCUAGCUUGGAGGGUACAGGGAGGGCUAAGUAGCCACACACAAUUUGCAAAUGGAUUUUUUUCUUGAAGCAAGCAUGGAAACGAGUACAGUGGAACCUCGGUUUUUAAACGUAAUCCAUUCCAGAAGUCGGUUCGAAUUCCGAAACGUUCGAAAACCGAAAGCUCAAUACGGAAGCCUCAAAACAGAAAAAUUAAUACGAAAAACUCAAUAUGGAAGCCGCCUCAGAAGUUCGACUUCUGAGGUAUGUUCGAAAACAGAAGCAUUUACUUCCGGGAUUACGGCGUUCAAGUGCCAAAUCGUUCGGAACUGUAUUAAGCUUGCGCUACAUUCCAUUAUAAUUCCAGAAAUGGCUUUUGCAUCGCAUGAAAGCUAAAAUCUCAUGCAGAACUUAACAGGGGGAAAGUCAUGAACACAGAAAAAACUGCUAUUUGAAAGCAACCGUGGUCAGUUCGUGAAGCACCACAAAAACUGGCAAAACAGGGACUAUAUUAAAGUAACUGUGUAUAACACAAGCAAAAAAAUAAAAAGCUGUACUUUUAACCCUGUGGAAAAAAAGAUCUAUCAUCUCUCUACAGCCUGGAAUUAUUCUUGCUCUCUUACUUUUCUUAGCUCCUCAAGAGAAACAAAAUGGCUGGUCAGCCACUGCUGGAAACAUUUCUUAUACAAACAGAAUUACGAAAAUAGAUACAUGAAAUGGAAGGCUAAGCUUCAUAAGCCAGCAGUCUUAACUGCAUGUUCCUUCUGGGAUAAUCUGUUUAAUAUUUCUGAUAAGGUAAUCCUUUCUUCUCCCUUCCACUUGAAAUAUGUCCAACUUCAUAUAUCAUUAGACAUUGCUGAGGCCUCGUCUCUCUAACGGACACUUGGUGACACUAAUUCAACAUCCUUUUGGCUCCAGCCAUGACAGCUUUAGCUCAAUCUAUGAAUGAGUUCUUGAUCGCUUCAAAGGUGUAAAUAAUUCUUAAAAUUAAAUUUGUUGUGUUUGUCUUACUACUCAGUGCAGUGGUACCUUGGUUCUCAAACGCCUUCGUAGUCAAAGGUCUUGGUUCUCAAACAGCAAAAACCUGGAAGUACCGUAUUUUUCGCCCUAUAGGACGCACUUUUCCCCCUCCAAAAAUGAAGGGGAAAUGUGUGUGCGUCCUAUGGAGCGAAUGCAGGCUUUCACUGAAGCCUGGAGAGUGAGAGGGGUCGGUGCGCACCGACCCCUCUCGCUCUCCAGGCUUCAGGAAGCUAUCCUCAAGCUGUGGGAGAGCUGCCUGUUCUGGGGGCUGGGGUCGGGGGAAGCUCGGGCUUCCCCUGCCCCAGCCCCGCGCCUGGGGGGGGGGAAUUAAAAAUUUUUUAUUUCCCCCCAAAAAAACUAGGUGCACCCUAUGGGCCGGUGCGCCCUAUGGGACGAAAAAUACGGUAAGUGUUCCAGUUUUUGAACGUUUUUAGGGAGCCGAACGUCCGGUGUGGUUGUCAACUAUUGUUUCUCGGGCACCUGCACCAAUCAGAAGCUGCGCCUUGGUUUUCGAACAUUUCGAAAGUAAAACGGACUUACGGAACGGAUUAAGUUUGGCGCUUUUGUUUUUGCUAUUUAUUUUGCGUUUUGGUUUUUGAGCCUUUUUCGGUUAAUUUGUUUUUGUGACUGUGUGGAACCCAGUUCAGCUACUGAUUGAUUGAUUGAUUGAUUGGGUGACUGGAAAUGGAUAAAAGCCGCCCCCGCCCCCAUCCAAACAGUGACUUCCAAACAAUGAAGCUUUUAAUGUUUGACGGACUAUUGUAUUUUAAUAUUUUGUUGGAAGCCACCCAGAGUGGCUGGGGAAACCCAGACAGAUGGGUGGGGUAUAAAUAUUAAAUUAUCAUCAUCAUCAUCAUCAUCAGCGAAGGUAAGGGGAAAAAAUACUUUAAAUUUUUAUCAUCUACAAUACUGUCUUAUUUAUUUUAUAGUACAGUACAUUGAUUAUUGCUUUCAUUUUAUGGAUCAAUGGUCUCGUUAGAUAGAAAAAAUCAUGUUAAAUUGCUGUUUUAGGGGUUGUUUUUAAAAGUCUGGAACAGAUCCAUUUUGCAUUACUUUCUAUGGGAAAGUGCGCCUUGGUUUUGGAACGCUUUGGCUUUGGAACGGACUUCCGGAAUGGUUAAGUUUGAGAACCAAGGUACCACGUAUUUAGUCUGAAAUGAAAGGAAGCUCUGCAAAGCACACGGGUUUCAUACAAAUUUAAAUCUUGGGUCAGCAUCCACAGCUGGAUUCAGCAUCUAGUGGUUAUUUAUUACUGUUUUCACUUCCGGCUUGCACCUGCACUUAGAAAAACCCAGAAGUCCAUUGUGGAUGUUCAAAUAGCAAUCUCCCCCAGGCACACCUAAGAUAGGACUAAACAACAAUAUUUAUUCAACAAAUGAGAAAACUGGUAGCAUAGGCAAAAUGACAAAAGUAUCUCCAAAAUCAAAACAUUCCAUCUCCUCUCAAGGUCUAGAUGUGCUGGUGAAAGAUUCUGCCAGAGUACCGCUGCGCAACUGGUCCUUCAGGGGCACAGUUACCCCAUGCAGGACCAGGGUGUCCUCCACAUCUGCCCACCCCAUCUCCCCAAAACAGUACUUCUGUCUUGUCAGGAUUCAACCUCGAUCUGUUAGCUGCCGUCCAUCCUCCAACCACCUUCAGACACUCACACAGGACCUUCACUGCCCUCACUGGUUCUGAUUUUAAAGAGAGGUAGAGCUGGGUAUCACCUGCAUACUGAUGAACACCCAGCCCAAACCCCCUGAUGAUCUCUCUCAGUGGCUUCUUGUCGAUGUUAAAAAGCAUGGGGGAGAGGACGGAACCCUGAGGCACCCCACAAGUGAGAGCCCAGGGGUCCGAACACUCAUCCCCCAACACCCCUUUCCAGACAUGGCCCAGGAGGAAGGAGCGGAACCACUGCAUAACUGUGCCCCCCUUUUUGCAUGGUAAAAUGACAAAUUUUAUGGCCCAUUUUAGAGCUGUGCGAUUUCCCCAUUAUUGGCCAAAAUCGGUUUUGAAAUCACACCGCGAUAACGAUUUUGACCCAGCAAUAGGCAGCAAUAUUUCACUCCUCGCACGAGGGAGAGCAGGGCAGCUGAUUUCAAGGCACUGCCAAUAUCGCACGGUGAUCUCAGCCGAUAUCGCUGCUGAUAUGAGCUGCCUUCCAUCACGCUGAGGGAAAACAGGGCAUCCGAUUGUGAGGCGCUGUCUUCCCCUUACGCUAAUGGAGAACAGGGAAGCUGAUCAUCCUCUCUUCAAGGCACCAUGGCACUACCUUCUUCUGGCACUGAGGCAGAGAAGAUUUUCUCAGCAGGAAAGCAGCAGCAGCAGCCACAGUAGAUCUUUGCUGGCUGCCCCGCUGACAGUGGCUUGACGCACACACCCCCAAUCCCCUUCAAUUUCAGGCAUUGUGAUAUCUCGGAAUAUCGUGAUGUUUAGCCGCUGAUAUAUCACAAUGUUGGAAACCAGAAAUCACUCACCCCUGGGCUGUUGUUUAGUAUACCCAAAAUCCUUUGCUUAUUAGGGGCUACCCAACAUUUUGUUCAAAAAAUUGCUUUGUAGAGGUAACUACCGCAGAGUUGUCAACAUUUUCAAAAGUAGGGGGUCCGUGGCUUGGCUUUUGAAAAAUAGGGGGUCCUCAGUAAUCAGCUAAUUGGGAGCCCCUGUGCUUGAUGGUCCUCCAUGUCCCUUCCAACUCUGCAGUUCUAUGAUUCUGUGAUUUUAUGCUCCAGCAGGUGGCAGCAGAUAAUUUGGGUGUGUUAUGAAUGCCUCAGGCAUCCCAUGGCAGCAGCAAAUUUGUAUUCCAAUCAGCUGGUGGCAUAUGUCAGGGGUCAGCAAACUUUUUCAGCAGGGUCCACUGUCCCUCAGACCUUGUGGGGGGCCAGACUAUAUUGGGGGGGGAUGAACGAAUUCCUAUGCGCCACAAAUAACCCAGAGAUGCAUAAAAUAAAUGGACACAUUCUACUCAUGUUAAAACAUCAGGCAGGCCCCACAAAUAAUCCAGAGAUGCAUUUUAAAUAAAAGGACACAUUCUACUCAUGUAAAAAGAUGCUGAUUCCUAGACUGUCUGCGGGCCGGAUUUAGAAGGCGACUGAGGCGGAUCUGGCCCCCGGGCCUUCGUUUGCCUACCCAUGGCAUACGUUCUGUGGUCUCUGAAGCAUCAGCCAAUCGGAAAAGCAAGCAAGAUCCUGUCUGUCCAUGUGGCCCAUGAACCAUCCAUCCUAAUAGUGAUUUUGGCCUGGAGGAAGGAACCUGCUUAUUCACAAUUUCACCCUGCGGUCUUCACUACGAAAGUGGGCAAAUCUCUGCUGCAAGCACUCAGAAGAGCAACAGUUCAGCUCAGAUCCACAAGAGAGGAGAGUGGUUUCUGGUCUUAAUCUGUUUUGCCUCACCAGAGUUGCGUGUCUGUGUUCCCAGUGCCACUACUGCCCAGGAGGAAACAGGCUCCUACUGGUUGUUUUUUUACUUCCUAAGGGUGGCUGGGGAGGACGACUGACCCAGUACCUGCUUGUUGGUUAAUGUCUUGUUGUUGGCAUCCGUCUGCCUCGAGAGACAAUGGAGUGCGCCUCUGGAGGUGAAGUCAAAUUGCUGCAUUAGCAGCAACGAAACGACCUCCCUAGGGUGCAAACCUGGGCAGAGUGUAUGGAGGUUCUGGGCUGCCAAGAUGAUAAGACCCCCCUCUCGGCUACACUGAUGUAGUCCAAAGAAAAGCAGAGCAAUACGUUUGGCACCAGCUUGGCUGCAGGAGUUGCUGGAAAGAGGCAUAGAAGACACCAUGCAACUGCCUUAAGGACUCCCACUUAGGGUUACCACCUUUGUUCUGGCCAAAUACAGGGCAGGGCAGUUGGGGGAUGAUUAUUAUUAUUUCAUCUGAUGCUGAAGUGACUUCAAAGCAAUCCAUUAUGAUGUAUUGCAGCCUAACGGGCUGCCCCCUCUGGAAUUUCUCUCUCUCUCUCUCUCUCUCUCUCUCUCUCUCACACACACACACACUUGUAGAUCUGCCUCUGCUUGUCUACCCAGAGCUUAAAUACAUGAUCUUUCACACACCCUUUCAAACACAUGUGUUUGCAAGGGUCCCUAACUUGGCAGAAAGAGAGAGAAGAGAGAGAGACCUGAAAUACAGGACGUAGCAUUUUACAUUGAAAUACGGGAAAAUCCUGUAUUAUACAGGACAGGUGGCAACCCUAACUCCAGACUGAUUUACUCCUUAGCCUUUUCUUCUCCUGAAGACAUCUGUUAUUAGAAUUCUAAGGUCCCACAUAUAAAAUAAACGUUCAUAAAUGUACAAGGCAAACACAUACAUAAGUAUAUAAACCAUGUCUCUGAAAUAGUACAGGAGAGCAAUCCUGAAGCCAUUUGGACUCUCCCAAAUUGGCCUCAAAUAUUUCUCUGCAAGGAGGAAGGAAAUGGGAAAGUCUCUCCAUUGUCUUUUGCUUACCUGUAUUAAGGGCAUAUUUGUGUAUGAAUAGGGUAAACCUGUAACCUGGAUUCAGGAACCAAACAUAUUUACCAUCACAAAAGAGUGGCCAGGCUGCCCAGCUAAAGCAAUCAGUGUCCAUUAACAGAUAUCCUGGCAAACAGGAUUUCUGCUGUAGACCGCUUCCUGUGAUGUAUUUCUGCUGUAGGCUGCCCCCUUCUGUGAUGUAUGUAUGAUGUUUUGGGGGAUGGUCUUAGGCUAGAGGGAUGCAGGUGGCGCUGUGGUCUAAACCACUGAGCCUCUUGGGCUUGCCGAUCAGAAGGUUGGCGGUGAGCUCCUGUUGCUCGGUCCGUGCUCCUGCCAACCUAGCAGUUUGAAAUCAUGUCAAAGUGCAAGUGGAUAAAUAGGUACCACUCCGGUGGGUAGGUAAACAGCGUUUUCGUGCACUGCUCUGGUUUCGCCAGAAGCGGCUUUGUCAUGCUGGCCACAUGACCCAGAAAAACUGUCUGCGGACAAACGCUGGCUCCCUCGGCCAGAAAAGCGAAAUGAGCGCCGCAACCCCAGAGUCAUUCGUGACUGGACUUAACUGUCAGGGGUCCUUUACCUUUUUUACCUUAGGCUACAGGGUGGGCAAUUUCAAAAGUCUAUAUAAGGGCUUGCGCACCAUUGUUCUGGGUUCCUUCUCCCUCCUGCAUGUAGUGAGUGAGGCCCCUGCUGCAACAGUUUAAUAAAGAUCAGGCUUACUAGCUGCUUUGCUUCUCAAUAUUCUCUGGCUGGCGUCUGUUAUUUUCUCCUACCGAUGGGGAACCCACUUAAGGACUCUAUACUGGCUUUUGGAUAUCCCAUAAGGGAAAAGGAGGAAGUUUUUUCUAGAACACAUCCCACAAGGCAGCAGAGGUUUAGAAUCAGAGUUUUCCUUCUCCUAGAUGGGCUACCUUCCCAGGUUGACAAGCCCCAUCUGCCUCUCAUUUCCCUCUAUAGUACAAGCAGAGACCACCAGCUUGACUUCUGACAAUUCAGCACUAUGUUGCAGCUUUGUUCAACGUGCAGCUAUUGCCUCCUCAUGGAGCUGUAUCUUGAGUUUCUUUCAACAAGAGGGCACUACCAACCUCCAGCACCUGCCAUCUUCUGUUUUUCUCUACAGCUUUACGGUUGCACGUCACGAAAGCAAGUUCCCAUUCUGCACAAAUUCAGAAAUCCAUUCAGCACUGUCAAUUCUUCAUUGAACCUAAAGGCCUGGGAACAGUUUUGGACCAUUUCAUUUCGCAUCGCAUCGGGGCUUCUUCUGUGCAAUUCAUUUCUCAGUUGUAGGUCUACGCAUUGCUCGUGGUUUCUGUCUUGUCAAGGAACGAAACGUGAGAAUAAAGGUGGCUGAGAUGAAAUAGC